AUUGAACGCUGGCGGCAUGCCUUACACAUGCAAGUCGAACGGUAACGGGCCUUCGGGUGCCGACGAGUGGCGAACGGGUGCGUAAUACAUCGGAACGUGCCCGAUCGUGGGGGAUAACGAGGCGAAAGCUUUGCUAAUACCGCAUACGAUCUACGGAUGAAAGCAGGGGACCGCAAGGCCUUGCGCGGACGGAGCGGCCGAUGGCAGAUUAGGUAGUUGGUGGGAUAAAAGCUUACCAAGCCGACGAUCUGUAGCUGGUCUGAGAGGAUGAUCAGCCACACUGGGACUGAGACACGGCCCAGACUCCUACGGGAGGCAGCAGUGGGGAAUUUUGGACAAUGGGCGCAAGCCUGAUCCAGCCAUGCCGCGUGCAGGAUGAAGGCCUUCGGGUUGUAAACUGCUUUUGUACGGAACGAAAAGCCUUCUUUUAAUACAGGAGGGUCAUGACGGUGCCGUAAGAAUAAGCACCGGCUAACUACGUG
rnacentral:rRNA from 1 species